CCUACGGGGGGCAGCAGUGGGGAAUAUUGGACAAUGGGGGCAACCCUGAUCCAGCCAUGCCGCGUGUGUGAAGAAGGCCCUCGGGUUGUAAAGCACUUUCAGUGAGGAAGAACGCCUGGUGGUUAAUACCCAUCAGGAAAGACAUCACUCACAGAAGAAGCACCGGCUAACUCCGUGCCAGCAGCCGCGGUAAUACGGAGGGUGCGAGCGUUAAUCGGAAUUACUGGGCGUAAAGCGCGCGUAGGUGGCUUGAUAAGCCGGUUGCGAAAGCCCCGGGCUCAACCUGGGAACGGCAUCCGGAACUGUCAAGCUAGAGUGCAGGAGAGGAAGGUAGAAUUCCCGGUGUAGCGGUGAAAUGCGUAGAGAUCGGGAGGAAUACCAGUGGCGAAGGCGGCCUUCUGGACUGACACUGACACUGAGGUGCGAAAGCGUGGGUAGCAAACAGGAUUAGAUACCCUGGUAGUC
rnacentral:rRNA from 1 species